rnacentral:rRNA from 1 species
UACGUAGGGGGCAAGCGUUGUCCGGAUUUAUUGGGCGUAAAGAGCGUGUAGGCGGCUUUACAGGUCCGUUGUGAAAACUCGAGGCUCAACCUCGAGACGCCGGUGGAAACCGUAAAGCUAGAGUCCGGAAGAGGAGAGUGGAAUUCCUGGUGUAGCGGUGAAAUGCGCAGAUAUCAGGAGGAACACCCGUGGCGAAAGCGGCUCUCUGGGACGGUACUGACGCUGAGACGCGAAAAGCGUGGGGGAGCAAAACAGG